ACUCUACCCCAUAUAGGAGUGCAUAAGGCGUGUACUAGGAGCGGAAGAUCUUUGCUUGUUGCUGUGUUCGUGGUUCAUCAUUGAGCUUGGAUUUAAUGGCUUCACAAGUGCUAGUUGAAUAAUAUUGACGAAGUGUCUAGCAUGUUUAUAAGAGCUCCAUAAAUGAAAAACAAAAAGCUGAGAGCGCAACGGAUUUGCAAAAGGAGAAUGAAGAUGUUAUUGCACAAUUGAAGGUCUUUUGGCUGCAAGUUAGGGGUAGACAAAUAGCACAGGGUAGACUUUUUUUUUGUUAGCACCUCAGUGUUUACAGGUGUUGAAUUGCUAUUACGUUGAGAUGAGAGACCGAGUGUGUCCGACUGGUACUUUUUAGUUUUGUGGAUGUUCAUGUUAGGUUCUGAGAUGUCAUUUGGUGUAUAUUUUCGACCUAUGUGAUUGAAUUCUUUAUUAAUAAAAAUGUGAUUUACUGA
rnacentral:sRNA from 1 species